CUCUUCGGAUCUGGGGGAUGGAGGAGUCCCCGGGGCUCGGUGAGUCCAGGAUGAGCGGGGGCGGUUUGAGGGCGAGGUUCCCGCAAGUGUGGUGGCCUUGGUAUAUGGUCCUGUAAACGGGUGGAUCGUCCUUUGUCUUGUGAACCGGCU